rnacentral:rRNA from 1 species
CGGAGGGUUGCAAAGCGUUGUUCGGAAUUACUGGGCGUAAAAGCGCGUGUAGGCGGCUUGGCAAGUCGGAUGUGAAAUCCUCGGGCUCAACCCGAGAACUGCAUCCGAAAACUGCUUCGCUAGAGUCUCGGAGAGGAAGGCAGAAUUCCCAGUGUAGGGGUGAAAUCCGUAGAUACUGGGAGGAAUACCGGCAGCGAAGGCGGCCUUCUGGACGAUGACUGACGCUGAGACGCGAAAAGCUGGGGAGCAAACAGGAUUAGAUACCCUGGUAGUCCACGCCGUAAACGUUGUGCACUAGGUGUCGGGAGUAUUCACCCUCCCGGUGCCGACGCUAACGCAAUAAGUGCACCGCCUGGGGAGUACGGCCGCAAGGCUA